AAGGAGUCUAACAUAUAUGCGAGUAUUUGGGUGUCAAACCUGAGAGGCGAAAGGAAGUGAACGUAGGGGCAACGCGCAAGCUGCACCAUCGACCGACCCGGAUCUUUUGUGAUGGAUUUGAGUAAGAGCAUAUAUGUUGGGACCCGAAAGAUGGUGAACUAUGCCUGAAUAGGGUGAAGCCAGAGGAAACUCUGGUGGAGGCUCGUAGCGGUUCUGACGUGCAAAUCGUUCGUCAAAUUUGGGUAUAGGGGCGAAAGACUAAUCGAACCAUCUAGUAGCUGGUUCCUUC
rnacentral:misc_RNA from 1 species